CGUUAACAAAGGAAAUCUCAGCCAUGAACUUCUUAGUUUAUUAAAUGCUCCACCAGAGAGGAGAACACGCUGGAUCACUGUUACACCACACCAAUACCCCCAUGUGAGACAAAAUAAAGCCCAAUAGAUGAUUCAAUUAAAAUCAACUCAAUGUUUAUUCUAUAACAUAACCUAAAACACAUGCAAAAUUCUUAUUCUAACAUUCUCAACUAUUGGGCAAAACAAUAGUAAUCUCAGCAAUCACUGAAGAGACAAGCAGUUUAAGGCAUUUGGAAUGCCUCUAGAUUCGACUUUCUUCACACGAGUGAGGAAGGAUUUGAUACUUUAUCAUAAGUCAUCUUGAAUACAGUCUGAUGUCGAGCCAUCCUCGAUCUGUAGCGAGCUACAGGCUCCCCCUCUAAUGUGCUCAUUGUAUAAUGUGGAGUGUUCAUUUACGAUUAUUUUUGACUACAAUCUACGAGGUGUUUCCUUUUGACAUAGAAUCUUGCCCUAUUGGAUACCACAGUAUGUGUUGGAUCCUAAAUUAUAUGAGGAAUCUUUAAUUGCUUCUCUAACAUGUUUUAUCUUACAAUCACAUCAGUGGAUUGCCACGGCCUCUUAUUGCCUCUAAAAACUGUUGCUCUUGGCUCACUCAAUUGCCCUGCACUUCUUUAUUACAUGAAAAAUCUUUUUAAAGUGAAUUAUUCAUUUAUUUUACCUUCGGGCUUCUCUUCCCAUUAAUUCUAGACACAUACCUGUUUAUGAGUUGGACCGGAUGAGUAGUCGUUGAUCCUAGUAAUUUAUGCAAUUAUUAUCCCAACACAUGCGACAGCUGGGGUGUAAUGUGUUCUCUGGUAAGUAGCUGGCUGGUUCUGGCAGACGAAGCCAACACCGGGAGUCUCUCGCUUGUUGCAUCUGUGACAGCUGUGAGUAAAGUGUGACCCAAACUGUGAGGAGCAGUAAAGUACGUGGCAAUGGCAGAUCGGCGCGUUGGCUUUUCAUUGAACAGCUUUAACGUUUAACAAGAUUGUCUUCAUCAACAUUAUCAUUAUAUGUUUCAGAAUUAUUUUAAGGGUUGUAUUGAAACGGAACGCUCUGUUGCUGUAUCCUUGGACUUUCCAGCUUUGUUUCUGCACAGUUUAAAUGAAAUCAGUUAAAAUGUCUAUGGGAAGUUCCUAGAACUCUUUUCCAUGUAGGGCCCCUAUAACCACUUCCUCAUAUACUAACUAAUCAAAUUCUCUAGCUUUUUUAAUGUAGUAAAUACAACUGAAAUGUACUCUUAAUAGGUGGAUUGUGACACUUAAAUAUAUGUAAACCAUGUCAGUGAAGCCUAAAAAAUGAAGUGAUAACUUACAUCAUUAUAAAUAGAAACAAGAUAUGUCUUGAUUGAAAGUCAAUUGGUUCAGCAAUACAAGAGUCAGGUUGAGAAAAAUGGAAAUAUAACAGUAAUGUUAAGAUAAGAUUUUUUUCUUACAUAAGAUACAUAGCAACACAUCAGAGACUGGAUGCAUGGUGGAAAUACUAGGGCAAAAUCAUUUUUUUUUUCGAUUUCACUUUUAAGUUGAGAGCUUUUUUACUUAGAAUUUCGCUAGGUGUCGAUCCAUAAUUUAGAAAAUACUGUCAACAGUAAUAAAAUAUGAACAACUCCCUCGGUAAAACAGUCAGAUUAAAGAUAGGAAUGAAACUGGAAAGUUGGUGUAUGUAGGUUUUGUAAAAUCUAAUUUAUUUUGAAGAAACUACAGGUAAAAAAUGAAUAUCACAAUAAAAUGUUGUUUACUUACAUGAAGUUAUUUAUUUUGUUUUAUACAAUUUUGAUUAAAUGUAUAAAUGCAAUGAGGCGUUAUAUAACUGCAGCUUUUGGUGAAUAAUCUACAGAGACAAAUUAUUAAAAUGUGCCGGUCUGGAAAAAGAAAAUCUUAAUGGCAUCUUUUUUAGCUCACAGGCCUGAUUAAAGAAUAAUUACUGUUCAACAACCUUUUUGUUUACAAUCAUAAUUAAAAAAAAUGAAUUGAUUUGUGGAAGAAAUGGAUGAGUGAAAAUUAAUUGAAUUGAUCCAGCAGUGAGACUUUGAUGUUGAUGAUUUGAUCUGUUUGAUAUGGCUGAAUUAAACAUAUUUGGAUGUUUUUCCAGAAACAUCAAGAUAUUUACCCACCAGACUGUUAUUACUAUUCUAUCAUAUGCCAAUUUAAACAUACAUUCACUACUGGAUAGGCUCAGACAAAUAAUACGUUAAAAAUAUUGGAGAGGACGUUUGAGCCUCCUUUUUCAUUUCUGGGAACUAAUUAAUACUGAAAUGUAAGACUGUUGACAGCUUUGAAUAUUAUCUAACUAUAACUAUAUAACAUAGAGCAAACAAUUCAUGUAGUUAUCAUAGAACAGUAAUUUAAGAGAUUAAUAUAAAUGAAAGAAAUGGAUUUAGUUAUCGUGCUGUACUGAGCGAGUCCCCAGAGCAACAGCCCAACUGGCUCAAACUGAUAUCGAACCUGCACCAUUAAAGCACCACAUCAGCUGAUGUGAUAAACGCCUGACACUCCUAACCAUGUUUGAUUACUGUCCAUUACAUUAAUUAAGGCAACUUGCGUUUAAAGUAUGCAGUAUAUAAAAUGUGCAUACAUUUCCAUCGAAGAAAUAUGGAUGAAGCCAGCUUCAACUCUUUUCAUUUUGUCGGCUGUUUUUCCAGAGGGAAUGUUAAUAUCUUUUUGUAUCACUCCAUAAAUCCGAUUAUACUGACAAGAUAAACAGCUAAAUCCCUCAGAAUAUACACAAAGUUUGUUGUAUGUGAAUGUGACGUGAAAGUGGAGAUUCUGAGUCUGAGAAAAAAACGACUGAGCUGAAACUAGAUUUUGCUGAGUGUGCAGGCCGUCCUGCUAGCUUAGCAUUGUGCUAACACACACUGCUCAUGCAGAGAAUCAGAAGUUGUCAGACGGACCGCCAGUUCUUCUCCCGGAGGCCGAGAACAAUCUCGAAGCAACAUAUCCAACACACACAGAGAAAAAAACAGAAAAACACAACGCUGACCGUCGCCACGGAGACACACUGACAAGACGCACGGUGGGACAGACGAGGGGACAACCAUGGAUCGUCACAAGGAAGAGCAAAAGAACAUUGCAAUGCAGUACAGAUCAAAGAAGGGGUGUUUUUUCUGGAGGGUGGGGGUGUGUGGCAUCCUGACAGUCCUCCGUGGGCCGGCGGGUGUAUGUGGGAGAGAGGUGGGCGGGGAAGGGGGGAUUGCGGCUGGUGUUUGGCGAAGAGAGGACUCUCCUCGACUACGCGUAUUCUUAAGCAAUAACAACGUGAUCCGUAUUAUCCACCCAAGAAUACCCGUCACCGAAGAGAGUCUUUCAGUGAACCCGGGGGGAGCUAAGCCGCAAACUGCGUGAGCGGCGGCGGCGGCGCCGCCACUGCCGCCCUUGCGUCACCAUUGCCAUUGUCACCAUGGCCAUCGGCGCCGCCAUCAGCAGCCACCCUUCAGUCCCCCUCGUGCCACAUAGACACAGACACACAGGCAGAGAGAGUGGGGCAGUGGCGUCCAUUGAAGACGAGGCGAGGUUCCACCAACGGUUCCUC
ensembl:lncRNA